rnacentral:rRNA from 1 species
AUUGAACGCUGGCGGCAUGCUUUACACAUGCAAGUCGGACGGCAGCACAGAGAAGCUUGCUUCUUGGGUGGCGCGUGGCGAACGGGUGAGUAAUAUAUCGGAACGUACUGUGUAAUGGGGGAUAACUAAUCGAAAGAUUAGCUAAUACCGCAUAUUUUCUGAGGCGGAAAGCAGGGGACCUUCGGGCCUUGUGUUUUUCGCGCGGCCGAUAUUGGAUUAGCUAGUUGGUGGGGUAAAGGCCUACCAAGGAGACGAUCAGCAGCGGAUCUGAGAGGGUGAUCCGCCACACUGGAACUGAGACACGGCCCAGACUCCUACGGGAGGCAGCAGUAGGGAAUUUUGCACAAUGGGCGAAAGCCUGAUCCAGCCAUGCCGCGUGUCUGAUGAAGGCCUUCGGGUUGUAAAGCUCUGUUGUCAGGGAAGAAAAGACGUGUACUAAUACCGACAGCUGAUGACGGUACCUGAAGAAUAAGCACCGGCUAACUACGUG